rnacentral:rRNA from 1 species
GUGCCAGCCGCCGCGGUAAUACGUAGGGCGCGAGCGUUGUCCGGAAUUAUUGGGCGUAAAGAGCUCGUAGGCGGUUUGUCGCGUCUGUCGUGAAAUCCUCUGGCUUAACUGGGGGCGUGCGGUGGGUACGGGCAGACUAGAGUGCGGUAGGGGAGACUGGAAUUCCUGGUGUAGCGGUAAAAUGCGCAGAUAUCAGGAGGAACACCGGUGGCGAAGGCGGGUCUCUGGGCCGUUACUGACGCUGAGGAGCGAAAGCAUGGGGAGCGAACAGGAUUAGAUACCCCCGUAGUCC